UACCAAGUAUUCUAAAAUCUAUGCAAAGUAAGUUUAAGCUUUAAACAUUAUAAAAUGGUCAUAUCUUUUUCUAUUUGAUACAUGCAAAAGAAAGGGAAAUAUAUGGCUAAACUUGUGACGAAUAAAAGUUCUACACACAUUUUAUUAAGCGAUUCUUCAGAACUUUUAUUCAUAUGAAAGCCAAGGGAAACUGGGAAUUGGGGGAAGGGCUCUUUUUCGAGGAGAGACUAGCAGCGUGUCUUGCAUUUACACAGUGGAUUGCAUACAGAGGCAGCUAGAAGUCACGACAGAGUUAUGAGAUGGCAUGCAUCUUGUACCGGAGAUCCAAGGCAUACGGGAAAAGAAAUACCUUAAAGCAACCAACAAUAUAUUGUUUAAACUGAAGCAAACGUUCAAACAUGGCCGCAAAGCUAAAUGUGCGAAUCACAGACCACUAUAUCUAAGGGGAAAUCAGUUUCAGACGCAUGUCGCAGAAUGGCAGCACGACACGUUGAUGUUGUAUUGUUGACUGAUGCCAAUGCUUUGUUAUUUGGAAUGCUUUGUUAUUUGGAAUAAUGACUAACAUGGAUAAUGCUACUAGAGUUAUUGCCAAGGGUCUGUGACCGGAUCAGAAAAUGGUGUCAAAAGUAAUGACCCGAAAUCCUUUAUUUGUGACAUCAAAUACGUUGGCUAUUGAUGCUCUACAAAAGAUGGUCUAAGGAAGGAGACUCAAGAAUUGGGCAAUUAGCUAUAGAAAUAACAUAUACAUAAGGAAUUAAAAAGAACUUGUUGGAUUGUUCUGGUUUGUUGCUCAUUUCUGAGCAUAUUUUUUAUCUUUUGGU